UACGGAGGGUGCAAGCGUUAUCCGGAUUCACUGGGUUUAAAGGGUGCGUAGGCGGAUAGGUAAGUCCGUGGUGAAAUCUCCAGGCUUAACUUGGAAACUGCCAUUGAUACUAUUAAUCUUGAAUACCGUGGAGGUCAGCGGAAUAUGUCAUGUAGCGGUGAAAUGCUUAGAUAUGACAUAGAACACCAAUUGCGAAGGCAGCUGGCUACACGAAUAUUGACACUGAUGCACGAAAGCGUGGGGAUCAAACAGG
rnacentral:rRNA from 1 species